GACGAACGCUGGCGGCGUGCUUAACACAUGCAAGUCGAACGAAGUGGCGAACGGGUGAGUAACGCGUAAUCAACCUGCCCUUCAGAGGGGGACAACAGUUGGCAACGACUGCUAAUACCGCAUACUGAAGGAGGGGAUUGCGUCUGAUUAGCUAGUUGGAGGGGUAACGGCCCACCAAGGCGAUGAUCAGUAGCCGGUCUGGGAAGAGGAACAGCCACAAUGGGAGUGAGACACGGCCCAGACUCCUACGGGAGGCAGCAGUGGGGAAUCUUCCUCAAUGGACGAAAGUCUGACGGAGCAACGCCGCGGGAGUGAUGACGGCCUUCAGGUUGUAAAGCUCUGUUAAGCGGGACGCGGUACCGGAAUAGAAAGCAACGGCUAACUACGUGCCAGCAGCCGCGGUAAUUC
rnacentral:rRNA from 1 species